GACGAACGCUGGCGGCGUGCCUAACACAUGCAAGUCGAACGGAGAUAUGCGAACGAGGCCUUCGGGCGGAGAUUGCAUAUUUUAGUGGCGGACGGGCGAGUAACGCGUGAGCAACCUGCCCUUCAGAGGGGGAUAACGGCUGGAAACGGCCGCUAAUACCGCAUGACAUAUACACAAGGCAUCUUGAGUAUAUCAAAAGGAGGAAUCCGCUGAAGGAUGGGCUCGCGUCCGAUUAGCUGGUUGGUGAGGUAACGGCUCACCAAGGCGACGAUCGGUAGCCGAACUGAGAGGUUGAUCGGCCGCAUUGGGACUGAGACACGGCCCAGACUCCUACGGGAGGCAGCAGUGGGGGAUAUUGCACAAUGGAGGAAACUCUGAUGCAGCGACGCCGCGUGGGGGAAGAAGGGUCUUCGGAUUGUAAACCUCAGUAGUCAGGGAAGAAGCAAGUGACGGUACCUGAAGAGUAAGCUCCGGCUAACUACGUGCC
rnacentral:rRNA from 1 species